UUUCUUUUACUGAAAGGCAAGUUGCUGUUGUGCUGGAGCUGAGAAGAGGUCUGCUGCCUGCAGUGGGUCCAUCUCUCUCAAGUUAUCGCAGUAUUGUAGCUCUCAAAGUUCAAAAAAGUAUGGUGGAAGCUGUUGCCAAGGUUCCGACCAGAAAAGACAGCCAGUAUAAAAGGGUCCACACCACUGAUCUCUACUACAGGGCAUGGACAGCACAUCGAGCACCCUCGACUGAAGCCAACCUUGUCCCGGAAGUUGGUGCUUCACAACUUUGCGGCAGCACUUCGUUUGCACGGCCUGUGGAGACAAGGUUUCUUAGACACGGCCAUGGCCCUCAAGGAAGAUGCCGAGGCCACAGGCAGUUCCUCCAGUGACCGUGAAAAGGUCCCCUGGGGCACAAGUCUAAUUUGGCACCCCUACCUUUCUCCUGCAGCUUUUCUGUCUACUUAGCUAACCAGGUGGGUCAAUGAUGGCAAAGGGAAAAAAGAAUCAACAGCUUCAAACGUAGAACUUGCUCAAGCUCAACGCAUUUUUGGUGUGAAGUUUUUCCCUUAUCAUUUAUCAAAAAACGGGUAAUAAGUAUAUGAUAUGGUCUUCAUACGGACACCUCUUUCCCACAGAGAAUUAGCAGUAAAAAAAGCAGCUUAUGAAGGCUUGAAUAUUAGCUAGGAUGAUGUGGCAUAGAUAGGACAAUGAUUAUGAAUGUUUCUGGUAAAGGUAGUGGUAGUAGAGUGAAUAAUCAGUUUAUAUAUAGAUUAAAAGACAUUUCGUUCCAAUGCCAGAAUUUUAAAUCAUCCUAAAUAAUUCUUGCGUUUGAUAGUCUAUGCGCAUUGAGUGACAGUGCUUCUUGAUGCUUGCUUCUUGCUGACAUCAUUCUUAUGCUGCAUAAUUCACCUGUUUAAAUUCCCUAUUUCUCCCGUUCAAGCAACUUUACAUUCAUCAUAACAUACCUUGUAGAUGAGUUCCAGAAACUUGCUGAUGAGAUUAGGGGGCGGCGUGCACCCCAGGCUUAGAUAUGCAUUCAAGAGCCUAAUAUCUUGCAAGUGUUAGAAUU